CUUUAUGCGUUAACGAUUGAAGCGGCAUCCUUUUUAGCAAAACUAUCCUGAAUUUGUUCAGGAUAGUUUUGCUAAAAAGAUAUAGCGGAAAGCGUGUUAAAAC
rnacentral:sRNA from 1 species